rnacentral:misc_RNA from 1 species
AUAUCAUGGGGAGAGCCAUUGGGUAUGUGAUACUUAUGUAAUUUUUUUUCUUCAUAAAAAAUGUUAUUAGAUUGCAAACAAUUUUAGAACAUGAUUUAGCAUUGCUGAUUUGCAGUGUUUAUGUUACAAAAUUUUAAUUUAUUAGGCGUAUCACAGUUCAUUGAGAGAUUACUAUAAGACCAAUUCUGAAUGCAUUUUGUAGCUUCAUAUACUGUAAUGUGCUGUUUUUAACUAAUAUUACUUGAAUAAAUCUGUAAACAUCCA